CUCUGGAAUGAGUCUUCACCCAAAAGACGCUUACGCUAUGCUUGUAGGCGCCGCCCAAGGAUGGGGCCGCGACCGAUCAGGUUGUUGGUGAGGUAAUGGCUCACCAAGCCUUUUACCGGUGCGGGCCGUGAGAGCGGGAGCCCGGAGAUGGGCACUGAGACAAGGGCCCAGGCCCUACGGGGCGCAGCAGUCGCGAAAACUUUGCAAUAAGCGAAAGCUCGACAGGGCUAUCCCGAGUGCCAUCCGCUGAGGAAGGCUUUUACCCAGUCUAGAACGCUGGGGGAAUAAGGAGAGGGCAAGUCUGGUGUCAGCCGCCGCGGUAAUACCAGCUCUCCGGGUGGUGUGGAUGUUUAUUGGGCCUAAAGCAUCCGUAGCUGGCUAGGUUAGUCCCUUGUUAAAUCCACCGAAUUAAUCGUUGGAUUGCGGGGGAUACUGCUUGGCUAGGGGACGAGAGAGGCAGACGGUAUUUCCGGGGUAGGGGUGAAAUCCUAUAAUCCCGGGAAGACCACCAGUGGCGAAGGCUGUCUGCUAGAACGCGCCCGACGGUGAGGGAUGAAAGCUGGGGGAGCGAACCGGAUUAGAUACCCGGGUAGUCCCAGCUGUAAACGAUGCAGGCUAGGUGUUUGGACGGCCACGUGCCGUUCUAGUGCCGCAGGGAAGCUGUUAAGCCUGCCGCCUGGGGAGUACGAUCGCAAGAUUGAAACUUAAAGGAAUUGGCGGGGGAGCACCACAAGGGGUGAAGCUUGCGGU
rnacentral:rRNA from 1 species